UACGUAGGUGGCAAGCGUUGUCCGGAUUUAUUGGGUUUAAAGGGUGCGUAGGCGGCCCUGUAAGUCAGUGGUGAAAUACUCCAGCUUAACUGGAGGGGUGCCAUUGAUACUGCAGGGCUUGAGUGGAGUCGAAGUAGGCGGAAUUGACGGUGUAGCGGUGAAAUGCUUAGAUAUCCGGAGGAACACCAGCGGCGAAGGCGGCUUUCUGGUCCGAUACUGACGCUGAGGUGCGAAAGCGUGGGGAGCGAUCCGG
rnacentral:rRNA from 1 species